rnacentral:rRNA from 1 species
GAUGAACGCUGGCGGCGUGCCUAAUACAUGCAAGUCGAGCGAACGGACGAGAAGCUUGCUUCUCUGAUGUUAGCGGCGGACGGGUGAGUAACACGUGGAUAACCUACCUAUAAGACUGGGAUAACUUCGGGAAACCGGAGCUAAUACCGGAUGAUAUUUUGAACCGCAUGGUUCAAAAGUGAAAGACGGUCUUGCUGUCACUUAUAGAUGGAUCCGCGCUGCAUUAGCUAGUUGGUAAGGUAACGGCUUACCAAGGCAACGAUGCAUAGCCGACCUGAGAGAGUGAUCGGCCACACUGGUACUGAGACACGGUCCAGACUCCUACGGGAGGCAGCAGUAGGGAAUCUUCCGCAAUGGGCGAAAGCCUGACGGAGCAACGCCGCGUGAGUGAUGAAGGUCUUCGGAUCGUAAAACUCUGUUAUUAGGGAAGAACAUAUGUGUAAGUAACUGUGCACAUCUUGACGGUACCUAAUCAGAAAGCCACGGCUAACUACGUG